rnacentral:rRNA from 1 species
UACAGCCUACGGGACGCAGCAGUGGGGAAUAUUGCACAAUGGGGGAAACCCUGAUGCAGCGACGCCGCGUGAGUGAGGAAGUAUCUCGGUACGUAAAGCUCUAUCAGCAGGGAAGAAAAAAAGUCUUUGGCUUUGGACGGUACCUGACUAAGAAGCCCCGGCUAACUACGUGCCAGCAGCCGCGGUAAUACGUAGGGGGCAAGCGUUAUCCGGAUUUACUGGGUGUAAAGGGAGCGUAGACGGCAGCGCA